UACAGAGGGUGCGAGCGUUGUCCGGAAUCACUGGGCGUAAAGGGCGCGUAGGUGGCCUGAUAAGUCGGGGGUGAAACGCUGCGGCUCAACCGCAGCACUGCCUUCGAGACUGUCAGGCUAGAGCACGGUAGAGGCAGAUGGAAUUCCCGGUGUAGCGGUGGAAUGCGUAGAGAUCGGGAAGAACAUCAGUGGCGAAGGCGGUCUGCUGGGCCGUUGCUGACGCUGAGGCGCGACAGCGUGGGGAGCAAACAGG
rnacentral:rRNA from 1 species